rnacentral:lncRNA from 1 species
AGGAAGUUUUCCGAAUGGCACUCUGCGUGGGAAGGAGCUUGUGCACGUGCACGCUGCCACCAUCUGCCCUCAGCGCUGAUUCAGGAGGCGCUUCUCAACUAUAGCCCACAGUGUGACAACUGAACGUGUCCCCUCACGUUUCCAAAUACGGGGGGUGCAGGAGGCACUGCUCACUGUUGCACCCCCUGACCCACGCUGCCAGUCCUGCCCUCACUGCUGGGUGCUCACUGGGACCCUGGAAAGGUCUAGCUGAGCCUUUUAGGGCAUGAGGAUGUUGGGAGAAUAGAGGUGGCUCCUCUGAGAAGCCUGAGAAGUGAUCAGGCCAACCUUAGAAUCUCUGACUACUAGAGGCUUGACUUGCAGUGAAACCCGUCCUAAUUGAUGAAGAUCCUGUAUCGAGUUAGAGAAAUGGAAGAAACGACGCGGGGGUCUGGUUUGCCAGCCAACAGCUGUGGCUUAAAUCUGAGUCCUUUGGAAAGAAAGGAAGGCAUUCCUUUUAUUUCUAAUAUGGCUAAGGUGGAAGUUCUUCAUCUCUGUGUGCAUGCAGCUUAGUUCCUGCUCCUUCAGCCAAGCUAACGCGGAAGCCCUAGAGCAUCUGGACCAAGCAAGGAAGCCGGCAGGAGCCUCUGCACUGCCUAUGAAUUUGACCAACGGGACUUGGGCCUGGAAAAGAGCAUCCCGAACAGUGGAGAGGAAGAGGGAGUGAGGCCCUGUGGACACAGCAGAGGAAUCCACAAUGGAUUUGCAGCAGGCUGGUGGAGGCAGAGCAGAGAAGGGCGGGAGAGGGCCAGCGAAGGCCUGGGAAGGUGGACCCACAAACUCGUCUCCUAAUGAAGCUAACCAGCAAUGCGAGGGCACACAGGGAGACCCCCUAGAGGCUGCCCCAGGCCAGGAGUCACCUGUGAACUGAGGUGGCCAAGGCAGGUUCUGUGGCAGAGGGUGAAUGCCUGCAGAUGAGAACCAGCCGCGGUGCCCAGAAAGGAACAGUGUGCGGGCCUGACGGGAGCCCCCAUCAAUACAACCAGCUCCUGCUCAGAACUCUCUUCAGGCAGACAAAUAGAAGAUAUGUUUCUACUUCCCCAGGCCUCAGCACCAUGACUAUUCUAGUCCCAGUGGAUACCCUGCUUCAGGUUUUAUGCAGCUGAGUUGAAAAAGAAUAACAGAAUAGGAGGAAAACAAGGGGAAGAAGGUAGGUGGGACGCCCCAAAUCAUCUUGAGUGCACUCCAUAAAAGAAAGAGGCAUUAAAGCAGCCCCCUCUCCUAUCUCAAGCCAUCCUUCAACUUAUAGGGACUUUGCACAUAGUUGCUGCAGGUUGGCCUGCCUCUGUCAGAGGUGUUUAAACCAGAUUGACUCUCUCUUGUAUAGGGGCUGGGUAAAAUGAGGCUGAGACCUACUGGGCUGCAUUCUCAGGAGAUUAGGCAUUCUAAGUCACAGGAUGAGAUAGGAGGUCGGCACAAGAUACAGAUCACAAAGACCUUGCUGAUAAAACAGGUUGCAGUAAAGAAGCCGGCCAAAACCCACCAAAACCAAGAUGGUGACGAGAGUGACUCUGGUCGUCCUCACUGCUACACUCCCAUCAGCGCCAUGACAGUUUACAGAUGCCAUAGCAACGUCUGGAAGUUACCUGUACGGUCUAUAAAGGGGAGGCAUGAAUAAUCCACCCCUUGUUUAGCAUAUCAUCAAGAAAUAACCAUAAAAAUGGGCAACCAGGAGCCCUUGGGGCUCCUCUGCCUAUGGAGUGGCCAUUCUUUUAUUCCUUUACUUUCUCAAUAAACUUGCUUUCACUUU